rnacentral:rRNA from 1 species
ACUAAGCGUACACGGUGGAUGCCCUGGCAGUCAGAGGCGAUGAAGGACGUGCUAAUCUGCGAAAAGCGUCGGUAAGGUGAUAUGAACCGUUAUAACCGGCGAUGUCCGAAUGGGGAAACCCAGUGUGUUCCGACACACUAUCAUUAACUGAAUCCAUAGGUUAAUGAGGCGAACCGGGGGAACUGAAACAUCUAAGUACCCCGAGGAAAAGAAAUCAACCGAGAUUCCCCCAGUAGCGGCGAGCGAACGGGGAGGAGCCCAGAGCCUGAAUCAGUGUGUGUGUUAGUGGAAGCGUCUGGAAAGGCGCGCGAUACAGGGUGACAGCCCCGUACACAAAAAUGCACAUGCUGUGAGCUCGAAGAGUAGGGCGGGACACGUGGUAUCCUGUCUGAAUAUGGGGGGACCAUCCUCCAAGGCUAAAUACUCCUGACUGACCGAUAGUGAACCAGUACCGUGAGGGAAAGGCGAAAAGAACCCCGGCGAGGGGAGUGAAAAAGAACCUGAAACCGUGUACGUACAAGCAGUGGGAGCCCUGAUUUAUCAGGGUGACUGCGUACCUUUUGUAUAAUGGGUCAGCGACUUAUAUUCUGUAGCAAGGUUAACCGAAUAGGGGAGCCGGAGGGAAACCGAGUCUUAACUGGGCGUUAAGUUGCAGGGUAUAGACCCGAAACCCGGUGAUCUAGCCAUGGGCAGGUUGAAGGUUGGGUAACACUAACUGGAGGACCGAACCGACUAAUGUUGAAAAAUUAGCGGAUGACUUGUGGCUGGGGGUGAAAGGCCAAUCAAACCGGGAGAUAGCUGGUUCUCCCCGAAAGCUAUUUAGGUAGCGCCUCGUGAAUUCAUCUCCGGGGGUAGAGCACUGUUUCGGCAAGGGGGUCAUCCCGACUUACCAACCCGAUGCAAACUGCGAAUACCGGAGAAUGUUAUCACGGGAGACACACGGCGGGUGCUAACGUCCGUCGUGAAGAGGGAAACAACCCAGACCGCCAGCUAAGGUCCCAAAGUCAUGGUUAAGUGGGAAACGAUGUGGGAAGGCCCAGACAGCCAGGAUGUUGGCUUAGAAGCAGCCAUCAUUUAAAGAAAGCGUAAUAGCUCACUGGUCGAGUCGGCCUGCGCGGAAGAUGUAACGGGGCUAAACCAUGCACCGAAGCUGCGGCAGCGACGCUGAUGCGUUGUUGGGUAGGGGAGCGUUCUGUAAGCCUGUGAAGGUGUGCUGUGAGGCAUGCUGGAGGUAUCAGAAGUGCGAAUGCUGACAUAAGUAACGAUAAAGCGGGUGAAAAGCCCGCUCGCCGGAAGACCAAGGGUUCCUGUCCAACGUUAAUCGGGGCAGGGUGAGUCGACCCCUAAGGCGAGGCCGAAAGGCGUAGUCGAUGGGAAACAGGUUAAUAUUCCUGUACUUGGUGUUACUGCGAAGGGGGGACGGAGAAGGCUAUGUUGGCCGGGCGACGGUUGUCCCGGUUUAAGCGUGUAGGCUGGUUUUCCAGGCAAAUCCGGAAAAUCAAGGCUGAGGCGUGAUGACGAGGCACUACGGUGCUGAAGCAACAAAUGCCCUGCUUCCAGGAAAAGCCUCUAAGCAUCAGGUAACAUCAAAUCGUACCCCAAACCGACACAGGUGGUCAGGUAGAGAAUACCAAGGCGCUUGAGAGAACUCGGGUGAAGGAACUAGGCAAAAUGGUGCCGUAACUUCGGGAGAAGGCACGCUGAUAUGUAGGUGAAGCGACUUGCUCGUGGAGCUGAAAUCAGUCGAAGAUACCAGCUGGCUGCAACUGUUUAUUAAAAACACAGCACUGUGCAAACACGAAAGUGGACGUAUACGGUGUGACGCCUGCCCGGUGCCGGAAGGUUAAUUGAUGGGGUCAGCGCAAGCGAAGCUCUUGAUCGAAGCCCCGGUAAACGGCGGCCGUAACUAUAACGGUCCUAAGGUAGCGAAAUUCCUUGUCGGGUAAGUUCCGACCUGCACGAAUGGCGUAAUGAUGGCCAGGCUGUCUCCACCCGAGACUCAGUGAAAUUGAACUCGCUGUGAAGAUGCAGUGUACCCGCGGCAAGACGGAAAGACCCCGUGAACCUUUACUAUAGCUUGACACUGAACACUGGUCCUUGAUGUGUAGGAUAGGUGGGAGGCUUUGAAGUGUGGACGCCAGUCUGCAUGGAGCCGUCCUUGAAAUACCACCCUUUAAUGGCUGGUGUUCUAACGUUGGCCCCUUACCGGGGUUGCGGACAGUGUCUGGUGGGUAGUUUGACUGGGGCGGUCUCCUCCUAAAGAGUAACGGAGGAGCACGAAGGUUGGCUAAUCCUGGUCGGACAUCAGGAGGUUAGUGCAAUGGCAUAAGCCAGCUUGACUGCGAGCGUGACGGCGCGAGCAGGUGCGAAAGCAGGUCAUAGUGAUCCGGUGGUUCUGAAUGGAAGGGCCAUCGCUCAACGGAUAAAAGGUACUCCGGGGAUAACAGGCUGAUACCGCCCAAGAGUUCAUAUCGACGGCGGUGUUUGGCACCUCGAUGUCGGCUCAUCACAUCCUGGGGCUGAAGUAGGUCCCAAGGGUAUGGCUGUUCGCCAUUUAAAGUGGUACGCGAGCUGGGUUUAGAACGUCGUGAGACAGUUCGGUCCCUAUCUGCCGUGGGCGCUGGAGAACUGAGGGGGGCUGCUCCUAGUACGAGAGGACCGGAGUGGACGCAUCACUGGUGUUCGGGUUGUCAUGCCAAUGGCACUGCCCGGUAGCUAAAUGCGGAAGAGAUAAGUGCUGAAAGCAUCUAAGCACGAAACUUGCCCCGAGAUGAGUUCUCCCUGAGACUUUAAGUCUCCUGAAGGAACGUUGAAGACGACGACGUUGAUAGGCCGGGUGUGUAAGCGCAGCGAUGCGUUGAGCUAACCGGUACUAAUGAACCGUGAGGCUUAACC